rnacentral:piRNA from 1 species
UGGCUUCUUAGUGUUUCACUCCUGUGAGC